GGAUUGGGGUCGGACAGGGAGAUCUCUCUCUAUAUAUAUGCGUAUGCUUAACAAUUUUGUGUAUGCCAGAGAUCUGACGCUAUGGAGAAUAGGGGAAACUACUACAACAGAGUUACAAAAAGGAAGGACUUUAUUUAUAAUCAGGGGAUGGCGGGACAUGCAGCAGAAAAUGAGCAAAAGCAACAAUUAACUGCAAUUGGCGGCGAGAGAACAAAGCAUAGGUCACUCAAUAAAGUGGCAAAAUUGAAGCAUCAUCCUGCCCCUUGUUCUGGGCAAAACAAGAAGGAGAUUUGCGGAGAGGAUUGGAUUAGUCAAUUGCCAGAGGACAUCCUGGUUGCCAUUCUUUCUCUUUUGACACAUAAGGAAGCAGGAAGAACUAGUGUCCUCUCACGUAAAUGGAGAUACUUGUGAACAUUUAUCACUCGUAGGUUGGAAUUUGAUGCUUGGGAAUAUUCCAGGGGUGUGCGAAUGGAUGAUGUAAGGAUCCGAAGUUCUGCAUAUGCAAGGUGGGUUAAUCAGGUUUUGAAACUACACCAGGGUCCAUUUGUAGACAAGUUUAUAAUUCGUCAUCGGUUGAAACCUAGUUAUUAUCAUCAUGUCGAUAGCUGGAUUAAGUUUGCAUUUGAAAAGGGAGUUAAAACCUUUGAAUUGGACUUGAAAGACGUUGGAGGAUGGCGCAGAAUGUAUACAUUUCCAAGCUUGGAAAAGUUCCUGUCAAGUUCAAAUACUGUACAAGACAUGCAGUCGUAUGGCUGCAUGACCCGGGCUGUUGAUUCUGUUGGCUUUUCUUCCCUUACAACCCUCCGUCUCAUAUAUGUUAAUGUCACCGAUGAGGUUAUUGAGAACUUUCUGGCCAAUUGUCCUCUUCUGGAAGAAUUGCAUGUCACGUUGUCAAAUCAGCUUCAGAAUCUAAAAGUUGUUGGUGUAUCACUCAAAUUGAAGUCCUUGGAGAUCUACCAAUGCAUAUGUUUGAGAGUUUUGGAAAUUUGUGCUGUAAAUCUCGUGUCAAUUUCAUAUAAUGGGCAAUGCAUACAUCUUUGCUUACAAAUGCUCCUGCUCUUGCAAAGUUCUCCAUCGAUGGCAGUUAUUGUGAAUCUUUAAUGUACAAAGAUCACCUGGAUUCGAGCUGUCUACAACAGCUAGAGAGGCUCGAGAUGAAAUUCUAUUCCAAGGUUUCUAUAGCCUUUAGAAGUUUUCCCCGAGAAUUUCCACAAUUAUGCCGACUGUAGCAGUUGGAAUUGCAAACGCAUGCCAUACUUGGAGUUAGCCUUGUCAACUACACUUGCUUGAUUAAGGCAUGCCCUUCAUUAUCGAGAUUUGCAAUGCGAGUUGAGUACUCUUACCUCGGAGUUAACUUUCGUAACUUUCGGAUCUGUUUUUUAUGGUUUCAUUUCGUAAACUAGGAUUUAAUUUAUUUCUUGGGCAAAGCUACACAUUUCACGUUUGUAUUAGGAGACUACUUUUCCAAGUGAUUACCAAGGUGAAAUUUUUAUGUUGUCAAGUCAUAAUGAUUGUCCCUUUAUAUACAAAGAAUCCUUAAAGAGACAUUUAUCACUACAAAGUUUGUUGCUGUGUAAUUCCUGUAGAUGCUAAAGAGUUUGGCAGAUUUUCUGUGGAAGGGGAUCAUAAUGAUUUCGGGAUACUUCACUGAAGGGACUCGCAAAAUUGGUUUAUUGCUAGCUUUUUUAAAAAUAAGAAAGUAUCAGGUGCAUGUUACCAUGCGGGAAAGGGAUUAUGGAUGGAGGUAGUUUGGUUAGCUAAUGCAGAUGUGAAGUAUUUGAUGAGGGAUUUUAGGGACCAUGGGCUCAUCUCUCUUCCUUGUAUGGCAUUUGGGCUCUUAAACCCCUAGGCAUCUUGUAAUAUAUAAGUGUUUGACACAUGAAGAUAUUCUACUAGUAAAAAUUUGAUUGAAAGGCUUUGGGCUUUGGACUAAAUGGAUUACUUAGCUCGCUCUUUAUUCAGCUCGGGUUACUUGUGUCAUGCAAAUCUUUGUCUUAGUGUUAAACUUCAUUUUGUACACUUAAACAUCACAACGAUCUUUCUAGUUGCAAAAAAUUCCUUCUGAUUCGAUUACCUUCUUUCUGGCAGUAUACGUGGGGAUAGUCUUACAAGUUCAAGAAGUCAUCAUCAUCAAAAUCAUGGUUAUCGUCGUCGUCAUCAUCAUCAUCGGACGAGAAGCCGUACGAGCCCAAGUUCAAUGUAGUUGAACAUGCACGGGCACAGGCAUCUUCUAGAUUUCAGCACCAAUGCCUUAAAGUGGUGGAGUUGGUUGGCUUUAUUGGGCAUGCCAAGGACCUUGAGCUUGCUUCACACUUGCUUGAGAUUGCUGUCUCCCUUGAUAAAUUGGUAAUUUACCUUGACCACCCAGACUGGAUCAUGAAAAUUGAGGCUUUAGAAAGUGGUAGAAAGUGUGCUAGGCUGUUGGAAGCAAAACUACCACCAGGAGCUAGUUUAGUGGUACUCUGAAUAGUAAUUAUUAAGUAAUGAAGACUUGUUUGUUUUAAUUUCGUUUAUUUAUUUAUUUUUUUUGUCUGGUUGGAGUCUUGUAAUAUGGAAUGAAUCGUGAGACAAGUUUUUGGACCUGGGUAAAGGAGAAGCUGAGUUCUCUAA